UCGGAUACUGAGGAGGCUUGAACCUGUGGGUGGGAGGUGAAGCGGGACGGUCCCGGCGGGUCCAAAUGCAGUCGGGAAGGGGAGGACGGGAAGUCUAGCCGGCUUGGACCUGCCCCACUCUGUUACCUGCCAGAUGACGCUGAGGAAACUGCUUUUCUUCUCGAGGCCUCCGUUGCCUCGUCUGUGCCCGGGCGGUGGUGCUUAUCCGGCGGGGUCGCAGGGAGGUCUUGUGGCGGCGCGUGUUGGGUCUGCGUUUUCCUUCUGGGGAGCUUGGGCAGCAUGAGCCCAGGGCUGUGGACAGCCCGGUGCUCACGGGUUUGUGGCUCCACAGACUUCCCAAGAAAGACAACCCGAGGCGAGGCUUGUGGCUGGCCAACUGCCAGCGGCUGGACCCCAGCGGCCAGGGCCUGUGGGACCCGGCAUCCGAGUACAUCUACUUCUGCUCCAAACACUUUGAGGAGAACUGCUUUGAGCUGGUGGGAAUCAGCGGGUAUCACAGGCUAAAGGAGGGGGCAGUCCCCACCAUAUUUGAGUCUUUCUCCAAGUUGCGCCGGACAACCAAGACCAAAGGACACAGUUAUUCACCUGGCCCCCCUGAAGUCAGCCGGCUCAGACGAUGCAGGAAGCGCUGCUCCGAGGGCCGAGGGCCCACAACUCCAUUUUCUCCACCUCCACCUGCUGAUGUCACCUGCUUUCCUGUAGAAGAGGCCUCAGCACCUGCCACUUUGCCGGCCUCCCCAGCUGGGAGGCUGGAGCCUGGCCUUAGCAGCCCCUUUUCAGACCUACUGGGCCCCCUGGGUGCCCAGGCAGAUGAAGCAGGCUGCAGUGCCCAGCCUUCACCAGAGCGGCAGCCCUCCCCUCUCGAACCACGGCCAGUCUCCCCCUCAGCCUAUAUGCUGCGCCUGCCCCCACCCGCCGGAGCCUACAUCCAGAAUGAACACAGCUACCAGGUGGGCAGCGCCUUACUCUGGAAGCGGCGAGCUGAGGCGGCCCUUGAUGCCCUUGACAAGGCCCAGCGCCAGCUGCAGGCCUGCAAGCGGCGGGAGCAGCGGCUGCGGCUGAGACUGACCAAGCUGCAGCAGGAGCGGGCACGGGAGAAGCGGGCACAGGCAGAUGCCCGCCAGACUCUGAAGGAGCAUGUGCAGGACUUUGCCAUGCAGCUGAGCAGCAGCAUGGCCUGAGGGGCUGCUGGACUGACCGAGGGGCUACCCAGCAAGACUGCAGCCUCUUCCUCCCUCAGAUCCCACCAGACCCACCAGGUGCCAUAAUAAAGCGGAUUCUAGACGGAGGGCCUGCUGUCUGGCUCAGCUGGGGGCUGGAGCCCCUCUGAGUACUAAGCUUGCUGCCCCAGACAGCGGCUGCAGCUCCCAGAGGGCUCAGUCCAAGCUCUUUGCCAAGGAGAACAGGGAGCCUGGCUCUCACCCCUCAGAGCUACUGGUAGACAGGUGGCAGUCAGCCCUGCCAGCGCAGCUCCGUGCCCCACAGGUUUCUCUGUAGGGGCAGGAUGGUGUGAGUAAGGGCCAGGAAGACAGCUCCAGGUGCCCUCUCCAUAGGAUCUGAAACAGCCCUGACUUAAACCAGCCAGCCCCUUUGAGAAUACUUCUAAAACCCAGUCUAGAUCCGGUUCUCAAGCAGGAUCAUGACAGGCUUCUGUCCACAGGCCCCAUCAGCCUGGUGGGUAAGCAGGACAACCCUCUCCCCGCCCCCUUCACUAUCAUCUCUAUUGGAAAAAACGGGGAUGAUGAUGACAGUCAUCAACCUCCUGGGGCAUGUCAGCAGGUAGUAGAGCCCCAACAAGCUAGUCCCUGGAAAUCUAGGAAGAGGUGGCCAGAACAUGGAGAUAAGCACUCAGGUCCUGGUCUCAGCAUCCUUUUCCUUCAACUCCCAGGAACCUGGAAGGCCUUGCUGCAGCUACAGUUCUCAAGCAGCUCCAUGUGUGGGGUGACUCACUGCAAGUAU
rnacentral:sRNA from 1 species